rnacentral:RNase_P_RNA from 1 species
UCGGUAAGCCAAGCGAUAGCCCUGACGCUUCAGUCGGGGAGGAAAGUCCGGACACUUACUUCAUUUUUGAAGUUAAAAAGGUAGCGGGUAACGCCCGUCGUCCGUAAGGAUAGAGGUGCGAACAGAGACGCCUUAUUUCGCAAGGAGUAGGGGAUCCAGUAAUGGAUUAGCUCCGACGGUAACAUCGGAGGUGAAACGGCUAAAUCCUUACCCGGGUGCAAGGUCGUGCUCUGAUGUUUCAGUCAGAGAGUGCCGCAUUGAGCCUGAGAGUAAUUGAUGGCCCAGAUGAAUUAUCGCAUAAACAGAAUCCGGCUUAUGGCUUGCCGGUUUU